GCUCGACCGGAACCGCCAUGUUGAGGCCGAACCCUGACCCACCGGCAGUACCCGUCCCAGCAGGCCCCGCGCUCGCCCCUCACGUGACGGAGUACACAUCCCCUUUUGAAUACCUUGGACCUCAAUCCCUUAUGUGAGAAUCCUAUAAAAGUGAGUAUGACUCAAGUUAUACUUUUUUUUUUUUUUUUUUUUUGUAACAGGGCACCUCAAUGCAAGCAUACAACUUUAUUUAGUACUCAAAGUAAUUAAAAAGGCAACAUAUUUUUUUACACUAAAAUUAAAACUAUUUGCAUUAACCUCUCUGAGGACUCUUAUUUUUUUCACUUUUUUAAAAAGUUUAUUUAUUUAUUUAUUUAUUUAUUUUGAGAGAGAGAAUGAGUAGGGGAAGGGCAGAGAGAGAGAGGGAGAGAGAGAGAAUCCCAAGCCAAGCAGGCUUGCCAACACCAACCCAAAGCCUUACACAGGGCUUGAACCCAUGAACCUCAAGAUCAUGACCUGAGCUGAAAUGACGAGUCAGACACUUAAGCACCUGAGCCACCCAGGCACCCCUGAGGAGGACUUUAAAAUAUUUUAGCCUAAAUGAAUUUUUUGAGAUAUUCACAUUCCAUAAAAUUCACCCCUUUAAAGUAUACAUUUCUGUGGCUUUUAGUGUAUUCAAAGUGGUACAACCAUUACUACUAUCUAAUUCCAGGACAUUUUCAUCACCCUAAAAAGAAGCUUGGUACACAUUAGCAGACACUCUCUACCCCUAUACCUUCUCCAGCCCCUGGCAAUCACUAAUCUACUUUCUGUCUCGAUAAGAUUUACUUAUUCUGAACAUUACAUAUGAAUGGAAUCAUAGAAGAUGUGACUUUCUGUGUUUGGCUUCCUUCACUUAGCGUGUUUUCAAGGUUUAUUCAUGUUAUAGCAUAUUAUAAGUACUUAAUUCCUCUUUAUGGCUGAACCUCAAUGGAUUUGUGUCUUAUGCACUGACUUUACAAUCUAACACCACAUCCACAGAGUGGGUGAGUAAUUCACUGUAAAAAUCUAUUUCUUUCUUCGUCUAUCCUGAUCUUCUAAGGUGUCCUAAAGGUUAAAGCUGAGUCACUGCUUUCCAGGCUACAAGAGUAGACAAAAGAAUGGAAAAGCACAUGAUUAAUAGUUUAAGUUCAAAUUGUAUUAAUGGCACUCAAUAAUCUCACUCACAUACUACUGGCUUUAAUGAGUCUCACAAUCUCAUGUAUCUCUCCAAAAGAGACUGGAAAACAUAGUCUUCUGUUGUUAAAUGAAGAGGAGGAGAGGGAAUAUGGGAUGGAAGUCAAGGUGUCCACUACAUUUCAUUAUUUAUUAUUAAUGAGAUACCCUGCAGAAUGUAUUUGUAUGUAACUGAAUGUAUUAUAUAGGGUCCAAGAUAUCACACAUCUCUCAUUUCUCUGAUUCCUCUGGACACCGGAGCUUUUUGUAUCUCAUGUCCUUGAGACUAUUCACUGUGUCCAGGAAAAAUGAGGUGCUAUGAUUGGCAGGCUUUGGUCAUGUGCCCAACCUCAAAGUCAAGAGGAUAGGGUCUAUCACUAAAAGAGGAAACUUGCUGGACAAAAUAGUAACAAUAACACAAACAACUAAGAACCUAUUUUCCAGUAUUAAAUAUGAGGACUAUCUUCCUUCUCUCCCCAAAAUCAAAGAAUGACAUAAAACUUCUGCUAAGCCAAUGGGCUUAUAUUUUGGUAUACUGUGCUAUCAAACGUUCAUUGAUUAUUUUAUUUGGUGUGUAUGGUAUUGCUGAUCUCUUCUGAUGGCUGGUGAAGUCAAGUUUAAAGAACAGAGACACUGGAGUCAGAGAGGCCUGGGUGAAAAAGUGGUUCUACCACUUGUGAAUAGAAAUAAUAUCGUGAUUAUUGGUCACUAUCCACCAGGCAUCAUGCUUUACAUUCUCUACUACUUUUGCUUGUCAACAAACCCUUAGAAGUAUUUGCAUCGCCAAUUUUUAGAUGUAGAAACUGAAACACAGAACAAUUAAUUAACUUGCCCAAAGAUAAUCAGCAAUGGAGCGUGGAACAGGACCAGUACAGUUUAACCUAGAGACUUGAUCACUAGGGUAAAUUGCUUUUCCACGUUUCCUUGCUUUGAAAGCACCUAUAGAAAUUUUCAUUUGCAUAGUUUCGUAUGCAUAGUUUUAGCAAGAAAUCUGUGGCUUUUGACAAGUCACUUAUCUUUCCUGAGCCUCACAUUCUUUAUCUGUGAGCUUAGAAAGUUGAGACUAGAAGAUUUGCUGCAUUCAUCUGAAGGUGAAGAUCUGAGAAUCUAUUCUUUCCACUAUUAUUAAAUUUCAUUGUGUAAACAGUAGAUGGUGCUAUUGAGUAUUGGCUUUUAAAACCCAGUAAAAGCCGUUCUAAUUCCUGGAUACAUAGUUUUCAUUAGGAGACACUUACCUGUAUAUCAGAGCAUUGGAGAUCAGGGGAUGACCAGAAAAUUCAUACACGAAAAGUUUCUUAAGCUCAAAGAUUUUACAUUAUGUUGCUUUGAAACGCUAGGGGGGAAAAAAGACUUAAAUAUAUAACCCACAUGUUGGCCCAUAUUUUCUAUUUUAUUUACUGCACUGGAUGUUUUAAGAUUAACAUUCUAAAACACAUGACAUCCAUUUUCUAAUUAUUUUAAGGAUGAAUCAUAACCACAGUUUUGUACUCCAAAGCUCAUAAUUCUAUUUUAUACUUAUUACAGGUAUUUACACUCCAUAUAAAUCUUCUCUAAUUAAAUCUGCAGGUAAAAAUCUUUUGUAAAUAUUUUUCUCCUUUAUGCUUCUAAAAUAAGAGAUUGUAUCAAUGCUUGAUUUAAUUUUUUUUAAUGCUUGGUUUUAGGAGCACCUGGGUGGCUCAGUCAGUUGACCAUCUAAUUCUUGAUUUUGGCUCAGGUCAUGAUCCCAGAGUCAUGGGAUCAAGCCCUGAAUCAGGCUCCACAUUGAGCGUGGAGCUUGCUUGGGAUUCUCUCUCUCUCUCUCUCUCUCUCUCUCUCUGCCUCCCUCCCUCUGCCCCUCACCCCUGCUUGUGUAUUCUCUCUCACUAAAAUUUAAAAAAUAUAGUAAGGGGCACCUGUUUGGCUCAGUUCGUUAAGUGUCCAACUUUGGCUCAGGUCAUGAUCUUGCAGUUCAUGGGUUCCAGCCCCACGUCAGGCUCUGUGUUGACAGCUCAGAGCCUGGAUGCUGCUUUGGAUUCUGUGUCUCCCUCUCUCUCUGCCCCUCCCCCACUUAUGCAUACUCUCUCUCUCAAAAACAAACAUUAAAAAUAAUAAUAAUUUAAAUGCUUACUUUUCAGUUAUAUAUAAAUACUUCCCAAAACUGGAUAAAAAUGUAGCAAAAAUCCAUAAUAUUAUGCCCAAUGGUGAAAUAUAAGAAGCAUUUACUUUAAAGUCAGAAUAAAACAGGAUUAUCACUGUUGCUAUUCAAUACUUUUCUAGCUUCCUACAAAAGCAGCUAGAAAAGAAAAAUAAGCAAAAUUUAUAGGCUUUCAAAAGGAAGAAACAAAGCUGUACUUGGUUGGAGAUGAUAUAGUGGAGUAAAUAUCCAGUGCACCUUCAUCAUAUUCAUGUGGCUGUUCAUCUUCUCUUCAGUUGCUCUCUCACAAGUGGAAGGCAGAACUCAUAUUUUCAGCUCUUAGAGUUAAGGCAUCAUCAUUUGACUUGGCUUUGGUCAGCUAGGCGUAUACUUGCAAAAAUCCUAUCUGAAAGUGAAUUACAUGAGAAGAUAUGCUUUUGGAGAACUUUAACUUCUGCUCUCCCUGGUAGUGGCAGAGGCACCACAAAGAUGUCAAUUCUACUGAAAUUAAUCUACAGGUUCAAUGCAAUUUCCAUCAAAAUACCCACAGAGAUUUUAUGGAAUUUGACAAACUAAUUCAGAAAUCAACAUUUAAGAACAAAGGUCUAAGAAUAGAUAAUUUUGAAGACAAAUUCCAAGGUAUUUACUCUACCAGAAAGCCAGCCAUACCAAGGUCAUAAUACAGUUGUCAAAAGACAGCUGUAGACAAAUAGGCCAAUGGAAUAGAAUAGAGAGCGGCAGGAUAGACCAACUUGAAACAAAGCAAUAUAGAAAGGAUGAAGUAUUCAAUAAAUGGCGCUUUAAUAAUCAGUUAUCUCUUUGAAACAAAAAUCCAAUUCAUUAAAAAAGCCAGUUUAGGUAGGGGCACUUGGGUGGCUCAGUCCGUUAAGCUUCCGACUUUAGCUCAGGUCAUAACCUCGUGGUCCGUGAGUUCGAGCCCCACAUCAGGCUCUGUACUGACAGUUCAGAGCCUGGAGCCUGCUUGAGAUUCUGUGCUCUCUUCCCCUCCCCCACUCACACUCUGUCUCUCAAAAAUGAAUAAAUGUUAAAAAAGAUUUAAAAAAAAGUUUAGAUAGAAUAAAGAUGCAAAUAACAAUAGCAAACACUUACUUGAUGCCUAUUAAAAGCCUGGUAUUUUAAGCCUUUUACGUAUGCCACUUAUUUAUUCCUCAUAAGAACCCUAUCAAAUAGGUACUGUUAAUAUCAUCUCAUUUUAUAAAUGAGGAAACUGAGGCAAAAGAAGUUAAUUAAAUUGUCUCAAAGCCACUAAGUAGAAGAACUGUGAUUUGAACUUAGGUAAUCUGCCUCUUGAGACCAUUUUAAUAUGCCAUAUGUUAAUGCAUUAUAUUGUCUCCCUUUCGGACAGAGGAGGGACAGAUUUCUUAAACAAAAUUCCAAAAGUGCAUAUCCUGACAGAAAAUAUUGAUAAUUAAAUUUAAGAUCUUCUAGGGUCGCCUGGGUGGCUCAGUCGGUUGAGCGACCGACUUUGGCUCAGGUCGUGAUCUCACAGUUUGUGAGUUUGAGCCCCACAUCAGGCUCUGUGCUGACAGCUCAGAGCCUGGAGCCUGCUUCGGAUUCUGUGUCUCCCUCUCUCUCUGCCCCCUCCCCCCCACUCAUGCUCUGUCUCUCUCUGUCUCAGAAAUAAAUAAACAUUAAAAAAAAUUUUUAACAAAAAACCUAAAUAAAUAAAUAAAUAAAUAAAAUUUAAGAUCUUCUUUUCAUCAGAAGACCACAAAGAUAGCAGAAAUACAAGCUACAGAUGUGAAAAGACAUGUAUCUACACUAAGGAAUUAUGUUUAAUAAGGAAAAGGGGAAACAAUACAAUGGAAAAAUGCACUAAUGACAGAAAGUCAUUUCACAGAAAAGGAAACUUAAACUGUCAAUAAACAUUUAAAUAUUCUCAAAGUUAAAAAAAAAUGGGCAAAGGAUACAAAUAGAUGAUUCUCCAAAGAAAGAUAAUAAAUAGGCAAGAAGCACAUAAAAAGAUGUUCAACAUCAUUAACCAUCACGGAAAUGAAAAUCAAAACCAUAAUGAAAUACGACAUCACACCCACUAGGAUGGCUGUAAUCAAAAGAACAAAGAAUAACAAACGAGACAAGGAUGUGGAGAAAUUUGAGCCUUCCUCUCCUGCUGGUGGGAAGGUUAAAGGGGUGCAGCAGUUUGGAAAACAGCUUGUUAAACAGAGUUUCUCAACUAUUAAACAUGGAGUUGCCAGGAUGCCUGGGUGGCUCAGUAGGUUAGGUGUCAGACUUUGGCUCGGGUCAUGAUCUUGCAGUUCACAAGUUUGAGCCCCACAUUGGGCUCUCUGUUGUUCGCACCAAGCCCGUUUCAGGUCCUCUGCCCCUCUCCAGCUUGUGUUUUCUCUCUCUCUCAAAAAGAAAUAAACAUUUUUUUAAAAAGUAAAAAAACAAAAAACAAAAAAACCAUAGAGUUACCAUAUGAUUCAGCACUUUUACCCUUAGGAGAGGUGAAAAUGUAUGUCCACACAAAAAGUGGUAUGUGAACCUUCAUAAUGAUAUUAUUCAUAAUAGCCCAAAAGUGGAAACAGUCCAAGUGUUCAUCAACUAAUGAACGAAUAAGUAAAUAUAUACCAUGCGACAGAAUAUUAUUACUGUUAAUAUUACUGAUACAUGUUACAACAUGGAUGAACCUUGAAAACAUGCUGAGUGAAAGAAGUCAGUCACAAAGGACCACAUAUAAUUCCAUUUAUAUGAAAUAUCCAGAAUACAUUCAUAGAGAUACAAAAUAGGUUAGGGUUGGGGGGAGUGAGGAGGAGGAGUGGCAGAGUUGGAAGCUUAUGGCUAAGGGCUGCCAGGCUUCUUUUGGGGUGAUAAAAAUAUUCUAAAAUAAUUAUGAUGAUGAUGCCCAACUCUGUGAAUGUGCUAAAAAGCCACUGAAUUGUGUAAUUUAAGUGGGUGAAAUUGUAUGGUAUGUGAAUUAUAUCUCAAUAAACUUGUUACUCAAAAAGUGCAAUUGCAAUAAUUUGCAAUUAAAAAAGAUCAGAGAUGAGGAAAAGCAUUACAAUUUGUGUUGUAAUGUUUGGUAACAACAAAACCAUAAAUGGAAAGAAAUUCUAGUCAUGGUUUUUCCACUGCCUAGUUGUAAGACCUUGGAACACUAGUCACUUAACCUUUGUGAUCUCAAGAAUCAUCAUCUGUAGAUUAAGGAUUGUACGAAUGCUAAGAACUUAGGAUUCUAAGGGAGCCUGGGUGGCUCAGUCAAUUAAGUGUUUGACUUUGGCUCAGAUCAUGAUCUUGCGGUUCUUGGGUUCAAGCCCUGCGUUGGGCUCUGUGCUGACAGCUCAGAACCUGGAGCCUGGAGCCUCCUUCAGAUUCUGUGUCUCCCUCUCUCUCUGCCCUUCCCCCCCCCCCCCGCCAUGCUCUGCCUCUCUCUCUCAAAAAUAAGUACACGUUAAAAAAAUUUUUUUUCUAAAGAACUUAUGAUUCUAAACAAUGGUUCUUAAUUUUUAGGAUCACAGAUCUCUUUGAGAAGUUGAUAAACAUCAGGGGCAUUCUGGUAUAAAUCAUAAGGCACUGUUAAUUAUUAUUAAUGUUUAAUAUUGUUUUGAAAUUUUGGACAAAUGAAAUAAAAAUAACUGGUAUAAAUAUUGAAAAAGGAAAAACAGGCUGUUAUAUAUUCAGAAAACCCGGACAAAUUUAGAAAAAAAAUCAUGAGAACUAAUAAAAAUUAUUCAACAAAGUGUCCUAAAUUCAUAAAAAUCAAUAGAAAUGAACAAGAAUAACCUAAUUGGAAAAUACAAUUUUUUUAAAAAAAGAUGUCACAUUCAAAUCUAUACUCCUGAAUUGGAAGGUUAUCUCAAUCAAUGAAAAUUUCAGUUAUUUUUCAAAUACUGAGGACUUUCCAGAUAUGUUUCUAUUAUUGAUUCAUAAUUUAAUCCCUUUGUGAUCAAACAUACUUUGUGUGACUGAAUAAUUUUAAAUUAGUGAGAGUUGGUUUAAGGCUCAGAAUAUGGUCUAUCUUGGUAAAUGUUCUGUGCAUACUUGAAAAAAAAUUAUGCAUUCUGCUCUUGUUGGAAGGUUGUUCUCUAAAUGUUAAUUAGGUAACAUUGAUUGGUCAUGAUCUUCAAUUGCCUUGUACUCUUACAUCUAUCUAUUAUAUUUAUCUUUUACCUUAUUAAUAUCUUUUUAAAAAAUUUUUUAAUGUUGAUUUAUUUAUUUUGAGAGAGAGAGCACUCAAGAGCGAGGGGCAGAGAGAGAGGGAGAGAUAGAAUCCCAAGCAGGCUUAGCACUGUCAGUGCAGAGCCUCACGUGGGGCUCAAUCUCAUGAUGAUGAGAUCCUGACCUAAGCCGAAAUCAAGAGUCAGACACUUAACCUACUGAGCCACCGAGGCGCCUCUAUUAUCUGUUUAUUCUUAGGGCUGCUGUAGCAAAAAUUGCCACAAACUGAGUGGCUUAAAAUAACAGAAAAUUAUUUAUUCACAGCUUUGGAAUCUAGAAGUCCAAAAUCAUGGUGUCAGCAGGGCCGUGCUCCCUUAGAAGACUCUAAAGAAGAAUCCUCUUCCUUUUCCCUCUUCUAGCUUAUGGUGAAUAUUGGCAAUCCUUGGCAUUCCUUGGCUUGUGGCAAAUCUAAUCUCUGACUUUGUUGUCACUUGGAUUGCUUUCCUAUGUCUCUGUCUCCAAAUUUCCCCCUCUUUAUAAAGACACCAGUGAUUGGAUUUAGGUCCCACCCUCAUCUAACUUGAUUACAUCUGCAAAAUCCUUUUUCAAAUAAAGUCAUAUUUAUACAUAUGGGGGUUAGGAAUUCAGUACACCUCUUUCGUAGAUGCAGUUGAACCCACAACACUGUUCUUAUAUCUAUUCUUAUAUCCCUAUAUCUAUCCUCAUAGAAGGAUAUGUCAUUCUGUAUCUUUAGACUUACAGUGGAUUUUUUGAUGUACAUCUAUUCAUUGAGAGAGAAGUAUGGAAAUCUCUGUCUAUAACUGUAGAUUGGCCUAUUUCUCAUUUCAGUUCGAUGAAUUUUUGCUUCAUAUAAUCUGAAGCUCUCAAUUUGGUGCAUUAAUGUUUAGUAUUGCUAAGUCUUCUUGAAGAAUUGGCUUUUUUAGUGAAGAAUGAACACUAUCAUUCUCCCAUGCAGCAUAAUACUGAAGGUCUUAGUUUGCAUAAUAUGGCAAGAAAGAAAUAUAUGGUCUAUGGAUCAGAAAGAAAAAUAAGUAAGUCUCUCAUUAUUUGACAGAUGAUAUUACUUAAGGAGAAAAUUUACUUUAUUGUCAUAGAAAAGUUAUUUACAACAGAGAGUUCUACAGAAUUGCUAGAUAAAAGAUCAAAAAACCAAUUGUGCUAUUACAUAUCAGCAACAGAUACCCAGAAAAUAGACAUUUAAAAAGAUAAUUCUUCAACAGCAAUUAAAUAUUUGACCUGAUUGGAAUAUAUAUAAUGUAUUUUUAUAUGUAUGAUAUACAUGUAAAUUUUUUUAGCUUUUUGAAAUUUUAUUUUUUGUAUUAUUUUUUAAUAUGAAAUUUAUUACAUGUAAAUUUUAAACAUGAAAUUAUUUUGUGGAGAAAACCUUAAAACUUUAUUGAAAAAGUAAUUUUUUUUAAAAACUAAAAAAUUUAAAAUAAUACUUAAGUAAAUAGAUACACUUUGUUUAUGGACUCAACACUGUAAGGAUGGCAGUUCUUCUCAAAUUAAUCUGUAAAUUCAAUUCUAAAUUUAAUAAUAUGAGGAAUCAGGGGCGCCUGGUUGGCUCAGUUGAUUAAGCAUCCGACUCUUGAUUUUGGCUUAGGUCAUGAUCUUCUGGUUCAUGAGUUUGAGCUCUGCAUUGGGCUCUAUGCCAUCUCUCUCAAGAUAAAUAAACUUAAAAAAAAAAAAAGAAUAUGAGGAAUUACAAAAGCAGAAAUAAGUAAAUUUUACUACUUCAAAAUUUAAAACUAUUAUUUACAAAAAAAGGGAUAAUCAGAAAAUAACCAAACAGGAGGAAAGGUUUGUCGUAAAUAUAACAAAAAUAAAAUGUUUUUCAUAUACAGAGUUUCCUUUCUAGGAGAAACAUAUUUGCUUUUUGUUAUAUUUAUGAUAAAUCUUUCCUCAUAUCUUUUUGUUCUUAUGCAUCUCUCAAAUUAGUCCCACUUCUUUCUACCCUCAGGUAUUUCCUGCCUUUACUGUUUUAUUAUACCUCACCUCAAUUUUUCAAUAGCCCAUUAAUUGCUCUUUCAGCCUCCAAUCUUGUUCAGCUUCAAUGCCAUUCUCUAGAGUGAACUCUCUAAAAUGCAUAUCUAAACAUGUUAUUCACUUCUGUAAAAAUUUUCGGUGACUCUCCAUAGCCCAAAUCCCUAACAUGACAUGUUAGGAUAUAUUUUUACCCAGCCAUUGUCCUCUCCCCAGCCUCUUCCUCCACAAAUGCAUUCUGCUCAAAUUUCAUCUUCUCAUGAGAUAGAAUUCUCUUUCAAGUUUAGCAAUGUCGUGUACUUCUACGUGUCUCAUAGCAAAACUUAAUAUAGACUGUCCCAUUGUAAUAUAAUCAUUUGCUUUCUUAUUUGUUCUCACAUAUAAAUUUUGAGUUUUUUGAGAGCAAGUACACAGUAGGCACUCAUUUCAUCACCUGUGUAAGAUAAAUGAAAGAAAGAUAUAAAGAGAGAGAUCAUAGAAGUUUUACUUGGCAGCUCUGUAAAUUAAUGUCUUGCUUUUCAAAAGCAAUUUGGUGGCAUGUAUCAAGGGCUAUGGAAGUGUUCAUAGCCCUGCCCCAAUUGGUUUACAACAAGGCAUACAAUCCUUCUAUAAUAAUAUCUUAACUGCUAAAAGUUUAAACCAUAUGGGCUGCUCUCCAUGGUUCUGAACUAUACUUGACAAUCAAGACACUGAUUUAGUUCACUAAUAUCUCCUGUGUAAUUUUUCCCCCAGAUAUGUGAAGCAGAGUAGGGAAGAGAGGGUUAUUAGAAAGAAAUGUAAAAGAGGAAGAGAGAUUAUUCCAAAGGUUAGAGUUUCAGGUGGAAAAGGAGAUUCAUUUUGAGAUUAUUUUCAGGUGGUUUCAGCUGCAAAAUUCCACAGCAAAGGAAUCAAUAGAAUGAAAAGGCAACAUACAAGAUGGGAGAACAUAUUUGCAAAUCAUAUAUCUAAUAUAUCCUACAACUCAAUAGCAAAGAAACUAAUAACCAAUAAAAUGGGCCGAGGACGUGAUAGACAUUUCUCAAAAAAAUAUAUAAAUGAUCAACAGGCAUAUGAAAAAAAAUGCUGACUGUUACAAAUCAUCAGGGAAAUGCAAAUCGAAACCGAAAUGAGGUAACAUCUCACACUUGUCAGGAUGGCAAUUAUCAAAAAAAUAAAAGAUAACUGUUGGCAAGGAUAUGAAGAAGUUGGAGCUCUGUACAUUGUUGGUGGGAAUGCAAAAUGGUGCAGCCACUAUGGAAGACAGUAUGAUGUUCCUCAGAAAAUUAAAAACAAUUACAAUAUGAUCCAACAAUCCCACUUCUGAAAAAUUCUACAAAAAAAUUAAAAUUGGAAUCUUGAAGAAAUGUUAGGACACUAAUGUCCCACACAGCACUAUUCAUAAUAGCCAAGAUGUAGAAACAAACUAAAUGUCCGUUGACUGAUGAAUGAAUAAAGAAAAUGUGGUAUAUACAUACAUGCAGCAGAAUAUAAUUCAGUCCUUUUUUUUAAAUUUUUUUUAACGUUUAUUUAUUUUUGAGACAGAGAGAGAGCAUGAACAGGGGAGGGGCAGAGAGAGGGAGACACAGAAUCUGAAACAGGCUCCAGGCUCUGAGCUGUCAGCACAGAGCCUGACGUGGGGCUCGAACUCACAGACCGCGAGAUCAUGACCUGAGCCGAAGUCGGCCACUUAACCGACUGAGCCAUCCAGGCGCCCCUAUAAUUCAGUCUUAAAAAGAAGAAAAUUCUGCAAUCUGCAACAACAUGGAUGAAUCUUGAGGACAUUUUGCUCAAUGAAAUAAGCCCAACACAGAAAGAUAAAAACUGCAUGAUCUCUCUUACAAGAAAUAUCUAAAUGUUCAUAGAAGCACAGAGUGAAGUGGUGGUUGACACGGGCUGAAGGGAGGAGGAAAUGGAAAGUUACAAAUAAAUGGGCAUAUCGUUUCAGUCAAGCAGGAUGAAUACGCUCUAGAGAUCUGCACAUAUGGUCAUCAAUUGUAUAUUGCACAUUUAAAAAUAGGUUAAGAGGAUAGAUCUCAUGUUAAAUGCUCUUAAUAUAAAAUUCCAUUUAAAAAUAAAAUAAAAAUGUAGUUUGCCUAAUAAUAUAAUCUCAGAAUAUACAAAGCUAAUAUUUAAAGGAUUAGGGGCAAAAACAGACAAAUCUUUUUAAUAAUUGAUAAACAAGCAGAAAAGAGUCCAUAAGGUUAUUUGAAUAACACACUUAACAAAAUUGACCUAAUCAUUAUAUAAAAUAUAGUUCAACAAGUGUAGAAAACACAUAAUUUUCAAAUACACAUGGAACAAUUAUUCAAAUAAAUCAUAUGCUAAGUCAUAAAUCAAGACUAAUCAAAUAUCCAAGAUUACAAUCAUAGAGAGUAUGUUCUCUAACUAUAAAGAAAUUAAGCUAGAAAUAAAUAACACAUAACUAGUAAAUCCACAAAUGCAUGGAAAUUUCAUACUUCUAAAUAACUCUUGGCUAAAUAAGAAAUCAGAAUGAAAUUAGAAAAAUUCUGAACUAAAUGCUAAUGAAAACAUAUCAUUUAAAGUCAUGGAACUCAGUGAAAGUAGUGCAUAGAGGAAAAUCUAAGACUUAAAUAUUUAUGAAUAAAAAGAAAUGGUAUCAGUUAACUGUUUAUGCAAUAAGAGAAAAUUAGCAAAUUAAAUCUAAAGAAAAUAAGAAGGAAAUAAUACAGAUAAGAUCAGAAAUCAAAGAAAUAGAAAACAAAUUGAGAUAAUUCAACAAGGCAAAAUACUUUUUCUUUGAAGUUUUUAUUAAACCCUUUCUAAGGCUUAACAGGAAAAAGGUAGAAGUUUCAAAGACAGGCAUGAAAAAGAAGACAAAAAGAUGCCAAAGACAUUAAAAGGAUAAUAAGAGAAUGAACUAUUUAUGUCAAUACAUUUGAAUAUUUAGAUGAAGCCGACAAAUCCCUCACAAAAAGGAAACCAAAAGAAAUAGGAUAGGUGAAUAAUACUAUACUAUUAAAGAAAUUGCAUCUAUAAUUAAAAAAAAAAAUUUCUCACAGAGCAAACUCCAGUCCCAAGGGGAGUCAUUAGUAAAUUCUAUCAAACUUGUAAAAAAAAAAAAAAAAAAAAAAAAAAGUAUCCUAAACUCUUCCAGAUAGGCAAGGGAAUACUUCCCAACUCAUUUUACCUAACCACCAUAACAUUGAUAUCAAAACUUAACAGUAAAUUACAAAAACAAGUUAUAGGUUUACUCAUAAACAUAGGUACAAAUAUUAUAAAUAAAAUAUUAAUAAAUUAAAUUCAUACAGAUAUACGUGUUACAUAAUGACCAAGAUGCUUUUAUUCCAGGGAAUAUAAAAUUCAUUUAAACAUUUGAAAAACCAAUCAUUGUAACCUACCACAAUAACAAAACAAAGGAGAGAAAUCAUUUAAUAAUUUCAAUUGAUGCCAAAAAGCAUUUGGUAAAAUUUAAUAUCCCUUCAUAUGAAAAUACCUACUGAUCUAAAAAUUCUCAGCAAAUAAGGAAAAAUAAUACAGUCUAUCUGAAAAGAGGUAUCUACAAAACUCAUACAGAAAAUACCUUUGAUGAUGAAAUCUCCAAAGCCUUCCUGGGGAAAAAAAAAGGAUAUCCACUAUCACCACUUUUAUUCAACAUUUUACUUGAUAUAAACUAUGCAAUUAAGCAAAAAAAAAAAAAAAAAAACAAGUAAAUCUACAAAGAAUGGAAAGAAAGAGAUAAAACAGUCAUUAUUCACAGAUGAUACAUUCAUUGCGCACAUGAAAAUCAGGAAGAACUUUGCAUCAGCCAGUAGAAUUAAUAAGUAAUUUUAGCAAGGUCACUGGAUAUAAGGUCAGUAUAUAUAAAAAUCAGUUGUAUUUCUAUAAGCUAGGAAAAAAACUACAUAACAAAAUCUAAAAAAUUAGAUAAUAAAAUAUUAAAACAGUGUAACUUAACAUUGCAUCAAAAGACAUCAAAUACCUAAGGGAAAAAAUUAAUAAAAAAUAUCCAAGACCUAUAUUCAGAAAACAACAAAACAUCACAGAGAAAAAUUAAAGAAGACCCAAAUAAAUCAAGGUUGUGUUAUCUUCACGGAUUUGAGAACUCCAUAUUUUAAAGAUGACAAUUCUUU